rnacentral:rRNA from 1 species
AUGAGUCUAGCUAGGCUCUGGGACAUGUAUGAAGAUGAGGCCAAGCUCUGGCUCAGGAAAAAUGUUGUCAAUGCUGAAGAAAACUGUAAGAUGUUAGGACCGAAGGAACAGAUGGAAAAAUAUCUUAGUUUUUUUAAGCUAGAUUUUGCUAAGAUGGUGGCUGAGAAGGAGCAGGCAAUUGCCCAAUUGGGAAGCACACAGCUUGCUCUUUCCGACCUAAAGCAAGAGCUUGAGAAGAAGAAGUUGUCUGAUAAAUCUACCACUAGCAUUCAUCGGGUGGUGAGUGCUAAGGCAGAGAAAGAGAGGGAUCAGAUGAUGCAAGAGAGGGAUAAAUUGAUGGAAGAGAGGGAGCAGUUGAAGAAAGAGAAGAAGAAGCUAGACUACAUGAUUGGUGACUUAUUCAAGCAUAAGGAAGACACCAAGUGCAAGAUAAUGAAGGUUAGGGAGAUGCUAGAUGAAAUUGAGUGA